GAAAUGUGAUAAGUAAUGUGAAUUGCAGAAUUCAGUGAAUCAUCGAAUCUUUGAACGCACCUUGCGCUCCUUGGUAUUCCUUGGAGCAUGCCUGUUUGAGUAUCAUGAAAUCUUCAAAGUUAAUCUUUUGUUAACUCAAUUGGUUUCUACUUUGGUAUUGGAGGUCUUUGCAGCUUCACACCUGCUCCUCUUUGUUCAUUAGCUGGAUCUCAGUGUUAUGCUUGGUUCCACUCGGCGUGAUAAGUUAUCUAUCGCUGAGGACACUGUAAAAGGUGGCCAAGGUAAAUGCAGAUGAACCGCUUCUAAUAGUCCAUUGACUUGGACAAUACUUUUAUGAUCUGAUCUCAAAUCAGGUAGGACUACCCGCUGAACUUAAGC
rnacentral:misc_RNA from 1 species